rnacentral:rRNA from 1 species
GACACUGAGGCUCGAAAGCGUGGGUAGCAAACAGGAUUAGAUACCCUGGUAGUCCACGCCGUAAACGAUGUCUACUAGUCGUUGGGUCCCUUGAGGACUUAGUGACGCAGCUAACGCAAUAAGUAGACCGCCUGGGGAGUACGGCCGCAAGGUUAAAACUCAAAUGAAUUGACGGGGGCCCGCACAAGCGGUGGAGCAUGUGGUUUAAUUCGAUGCAACGCGAAGAACCUUACCUGGUCUUGACAUACACAGAAUCUUGUAGAGAUACGAGAGUGCCUUCGGGAAUUGUGAUACAGGUGCUGCAUGGCUGUCGUCAGCUCGUGUCGUGAGAUGUUGGGUUAAGUCCCGCAACGAGCGCAACCUUUGUCCUUAGUUACCAGCACUUCGGGUGGGAACUCUAAGGAUACUGCCAGUGACAAACUGGAGGAAGGCGGGGACGACGUCAAGUCAUCAUGGCCCUUACGACCAGGGCUACACACGUGCUACAAUGGUAGGUACAGAGGGCAGCUACACAGCGAUGUGAUGCGAAUCUCAAAAAGCCUAUCGUAGUCCAGAUUGGAGUCUGCAACUCGACUCCAUGAAGUAGGAAUCGCUAGUAAUCGCGGAUCAGAAUGCCGCGGUGAAUACGUUCCCGGGCCUUGUACACACCGCCCGUCACACCAUGGGAGUUGAUUGCACCAGAAGUGGUUAGCC